AUGGAAGAGAUGACGAAGAUAUUGUUUCUUAGUUACAAUGAUCUCCCCUACCAUUUGAAGACAUGUUCGCUAUAUCUAAGUAUAUUCCCUGAAGAUUAUGUGAUCAAGAGGGAUCAGCUGGUAAGGAGAUGGAUCGCGGAAGGUUUUAUCAUUGUAGAAGGUGGACAGAAUCUGGAGGAAGUAGGAGAAGGCUAUUUCAGCGAUCUGAUAAACAGAAGCUUGAUUGAACCGGUUGAAAUCCAGUAUGAUGGUCGAGCUGAUGCUUGUCGUGUCCAUGAUAUGAUUCUUGACCUAAUUAUAUCCAAGUCAAUUGAAGAAAAUUUUGUAACCUUAUCUGGUGACAGCAAACAUAACUCACUUCCAUAUGAUAAGGUUCAUCGACUAUCCCUGAACUAUCAUGCUCAAGAACAUACUAUGGUACCAUCGAACAUGGUUGUUUCUCAUGUUAGAUCCCUCGCUAUCUUUGGAUGUGCCGAAGCUGAACACAUGCUUUCUCUUUCAAACUUUCAAUCCGUAAGUGUUAGAUAUAGAAAAUAG
rnacentral:rRNA from 1 species